rnacentral:rRNA from 1 species
GCAGCGGCACUGAUUGUUGUGAUUCAUGCAUGGGUCAUGUUCAUGCACAUGAGAGCUAUUCAUCGUGGUGAGAGACCUGACAUCUCUUAUGCUCCAAUGCUUAUGCGGGAGCAACAGAGGAUCACCAAUCUGAACUACAUCUACAACUGCAACAACACAAAGGCCCUGUGGAUGCUUCAAAUGAAAAGAGCACCAUUUGCCAGACUUGUCCAAACCUUCAGGAGCGGGGUGCUGCUACAAGAUAGCAUCGACACCAGUGUGGAAGAGCAAGUGGCCAUGUUCCUCCGUGUUGUUGGCCAUAAUCAGAGGUUCAGGGUUAUACACAACACGUUCAGGAGAUCAAUGGAGACCAUCUCAAGGUACUUCAAGCAAGUGCUCUAUGCUAUUGGGGAGCUCAGAGGAGAGAUGAUCAAGUAAUCAACCGGCCGGACUCCUACUAAGAUUCGCACCAGCCCAAGAUGGUGUUCAUACUUCAAGGUGAGCACUAAGAGUAUGUGCUUCAUGGCUUGA